UAAAAGUCGAAAAACGCGUACGUCUGC
rnacentral:sRNA from 1 species